rnacentral:lncRNA from 1 species
GCUAUACUGAUGGGCAGUCAGCUGAUUCUAGCAGUCCUAAUAGGUACUUUCUUGAUUUUAUCCAAUUGUCUCACUACUUGCCAACCACCCAGCCAAGCUCUUUGUUGACUUUCAGCCAUUGUGACAAGGCAUCACCAAUCAUCAGGUCCUUUUACCAGGAGCUCCCAUGUCAUGGCCACUUGUCUCUGUAUAUAAAGGGAGUGAUGGGGGUGCUGCUUUGGACAAAUGGACCUGGGGUGGGGGAAAGGGGCAGCAGACAGAGGCUGCCUUGGCAAGAAGAUCUCUGCUGUUGGCCAGAAAUUGGAAAUGUAAGAAGAUGGUGAAGUACCACAGAUGUAAGUGUUCAGUAUGCCAUGUGAAGGAUUCACUACAGAGUAAAAAAUCAAAGAAGUUAUGCCAGAAAAAGAACAAGAAGACAAGGAAAAAGAAAAACCUCUCCUGGUGCAGGCCCAAGACCACCAUGAUCAUCGUUGAUUUUACAUCUCCGCCCCAGGGUGUCUAAGUAAAAUCUCUCUCCUUUCACUGAAGAAUGUGUUUUGUGUGUUUUUGCUCAGCUGAAAGGUAACCUGUGGCAACCUAGUGUACC